GGAUUAGAUACCCUAUUAUUUAUUAUGUGAAUUUUAAUACCUUAGUAGUAAUGGUUAAGUUCCUAAAACUUAAAGAAUUUGGCGGUGUUUAAAGUCUAUUUAGAGGAAUUUGUCCCAUGAUCGAUAGUACACGUUGUACCUUACUUAGUAUUUAUAAAUUUAUAUACCGCCGUUAAGACGAAUAUUUUUAUAGAAUAAUUUUCUUUAUUACUUACUAUUUGAUUAUUUCAGGUCAAGGUUUAAUUUAUGAUUAAGUGGUGAUGAAUUACAAUUGGAGGGUUAAGUGCGGAUUAGUUGUUGAAAUUUUAUUAUGAAGAUGGAUUUAAUAGUAAUUUGUUGAAGAUUAUUUAAAUGAUUUUGGCUCUAAAACGUGUACAUAUCGCCCGUCACUCUCGUUCAUUAAAUGAGAUAAGUC
rnacentral:rRNA from 1 species